GAUGAACGCUGGCGGCGUGCCUAAUACAUGCAAGUCGAGCGAACAGACGAGGAGCUUGCUCCUCUGACGUUAGCGGCGGUCGGGUGAGUAACACGUGGAUAACCUACCUAUAAGACUGGGAUAACUUCGGGAAACCGGAGCUAAUACCGGAUAAUAUAUUGAACCGCAUGGUUCAAUAGUGAAAGACGGUUUUGCUGUCACUUAUAGAUGGAUCCGCGCCGCAUUAGCUAGUUGGUAAGGUAACGGCUUACCAAGGCGACGAUGCGUAGCCGACCUGAGAGGGUGAUCGGCCACACUGGAACUGAGACACGGUCCAGACUCCUACGGGAGGCAGCAGUAGGGAAUCUUCCGCAAUGGGCGAAAGCCUGACGGAGCAACGCCACGUGAGUGAUGAAGGUCUUCGGAUCGUAAAACUCUGUUAUUAGGGAAGAACAAAUGUGUAAGUAACUAUGCACGUCUUGACGGUACCUAAUCAGAAAGCCACGGCUAACUACGUG
rnacentral:rRNA from 1 species